UGGGGAAUAUUGCACAAUGGGCGCAAGCCUGAUGCAGCGACGCCGCGUGAGGGAUGGCGGCCUUCGGGUUGUAAACCUCUUUCAGUAGGGAAAAAGCGAAAGUGACGGUACCUGCAGAAGAAGCGCCGGCUAACUACGUGCCAGCAGCCGCGGUAAUACGUAGGACCCAAGCGUUAUCCGGAGUGACUGGGCGGAAAGAGUUGCGUAGGCGGCAGUUUAAGCGAGUAGUGAAAUAUGAUGGCUCAACCAUCAGCCCAUUACUCGAACUGGGCUGCUCGAGAAUAGUAGAGGUACCUGGAAUUCCCUGUGUAGGAGUGAAAUCCGUAGAUAUAGGGAGGAACACCAAUGGCGUAGGCAGGGUACUGGACUAUUUCUGACGCUAAGGCACGAAAGCGUGGGGAGCGAAC
rnacentral:rRNA from 1 species